rnacentral:tRNA from 1 species
GCGCUCGUAGCUCAGUUGGAUAGAGCAGCGGCCUUCUAAGCCGCCGGUCGCCCGUUCGAGUCGGGCCGGGCGCG